GCUUGGGAAACUGGGUCUAAUACCGGAUAGGAACCGUCUUUAGUGUGGUGGUUGGAAAGUUUUUUCGGUGCAAGAUGAGCUCGCGGCCUAUCAGCUUGUUGGUGGGGUAAUGGCCUACCAAGGCGUCGACGGGUAGCCGGCCUGAGAGGGUGUACGGCCACAUUGGGACUGAGAUACGGCCCACACUCAUACGGGAGGCAGCAGUGGGGAAUAUUGCACAAUGGGCGGAAGCCUGAUGCAGCGACGCCGCGUGGGGGAUGACGGCCUUCGGGUUGUAAACUCCUUUCGACAGGGACGAAGCGCAAGUGACGGUACCUGUAUAAGAAGCACCGGCUAACUACGUGCCAGCAGCCGCGGUAAUACGUAGGGUGCGAGCGUUGUCCGGAAUUACUGGGCGUAAAGAGCUCGUAGGUGGUUUGUCGCGUCGUCUGUGAAAUUCCGGGGCUUAACUCCGGGCGUGCAGGCGAUACGGGCAUAACUUGAGUGCUGUAGGGGAGACUGGAAUUCCUGGUGUAGCGGUGAAAUGCGCAGAUAUCAGGAGGAACACCGAUGGCGAAGGCAGGUCUCUGGGCAGUUACUGACGCUGAGGAGCGAAAGCAUGGGUAGCGAACAGGAUUAGAUACCCUGGUAGUCCAUGCCGUAAACGGUGGGCGCUAGGUGUAGGGGGCUUCCACGUCUUCUGUGCCGUAGCUAACGCAUUAAGCGCCCCGCCUGGGGAGUACGGCCGCAAGGCUAAAACUCAAAGGAAUUGACGGGGGCCCGCACAGGCGGCGGAGCAUGG
rnacentral:rRNA from 1 species